rnacentral:rRNA from 1 species
UACGGAGGGGGCUAGCGUUGUUCGGAAUUACUGGGCGUAAAGCGCACGUAGGCGGCUUUGCAAGUUAGAGGUGAAAGCCCGGGGCUCAACUCCGGAAUUGCCUUUAAAACUGCAUCGCUAGAGUUGUGGAGAGGUAAGUGGAAUUCCGAGUGUAGAGGUGAAAUUCGUAGAUAUUCGGAAGAACACCAGUGGCGAAGGCGACUUACUGGACACAUACUGACGCUGAGGUGCGAAAAGCGUGGGGGAGCAA